rnacentral:misc_RNA from 1 species
AGAGGAAAGAGCUCAAAGUUGGAACCUGUUUGGCCUAGCUAAACCGGAUUGUAGACUGUAGAAGUGUUUUCCAGGCAAGCCGAGUAAAUAAGUCCUUUGGAACAGGGCAUCAUAGAGGGUGAGAAUCCCGUCUUUGGCUUGAGCAUUUGCCUUUUGUGAUACGCUUUCAAAGAGUCAGGUUGUUUGGGAAUGCAGCCUAAAUUGGGUGGUAAAUCUCACCUAAAGCUAAAUAUUGGCGAGAAACCGAUAGCGAACAAGUACCGUGAGGGAAAGAUGAAAAGAACUUUGAAAAGAGAGUUAAACAGUAUGUGAAAUUGUUAAAAGGGAACCGUUUGGAGCCAGACUGGCUUGUCUGUAAUCAAUCUAGGCUUCGGCCUGGAUGCACUUGCAGGCUAUGCCUGCCAACGACAAUUUGACUUGAGGGAAAAAACUAGGGGAAAUGUGGCCCACUUGUGGGUGUUAUAGUCCCUUAGAAAAUACCUUGGGUUGGAUUGAGGAAC